CUCGCAGUUGGAUCCGCCGGGCUAAAAUUCCGGGGUGGGCGCGCUGCACCCUGGGACAUGUGGUUCUCCGAGGGGCACGGGCGGUUCCUGCGAUCUGGCUUUCCCUGGCGUCUUGCACCAGCCCUCCCUUUGUGGGUUGCAUAGUUCCCAGGAACCUGUCAGCUCUUUAGCCUUUUUCCUGCAAAUACAUUUCCGUGAGUGCCGGCUAGAUGAGGCUCACAUGGCCUCAGGUCCGUGCUGCACGCCAUAAGGAAUAGUAGUCCCUAAAUGCAUACGCUUUUGGAGUUGUCCUCUGCCCUCACCGAGAUUGCAAAACGUUAAAGGCAAAAAUGAAUCGAGCCUUUGACGGCAGUGUGCUGAGAGUUUUCCUUGUAAUCGCUCAUGUACUCUUGGCAACUUUAAUUGCAGCUGAGCUGCCUUUCUGGAAAGUUUCUUCCUUGAUUUCUAUCACCUUGCAUCAUCUGCUUUCCUCUCAGACGGACCAUUCAGGUAAACAACCCCUUCCAUGGAGUGAAUGGAAAGAUAAUGCUUCUCUUUACUUCAGUGUCCCUCCUUCUGCCUGAAAAAGCAAUUAUUCUGGAAGCAUGUGCGUGUCAAUUGGAUUACGUUACCUGGGAGGUGGGCUAAAAACAUCAUCUGGCUAAAAUGUUUGCAGAAAUACCAUUAACCCGCUGCCAUUGUGGAUUGUUAGCUUGAGAUCAACCCAAUGACUUUCCACUUGCAAUCCUUUUAUGUUUAUAAAGAUUCCAUAAACACCGUAUUGUGUCAUUUUAAUACUAACAAUUCAACCUCCCCCCCCCAAAGUAGUAAAAGCCUGUUUUUUCUAAGUUAAAAUUAAAAAGUCCCUAUGUCUUUGAAGGAGAGAGUCUCAUAUAGUAUAAAGAUGGUAAAAAAUAAAAGUCUUGAUCAUAGUUCGCA
rnacentral:lncRNA from 1 species